rnacentral:rRNA from 1 species
UGCCUGGCGGCUGUAGCGCGGUGGUCCCACCUGACCCCAUGCCGAACUCAGAAGUGAAACGCCGUAGCGCCGAUGAUAGUGUGGGGCCUCCCCAUGCGAGAGUAGGGAACUGCCAGGCAU